CACUCCCUAGGUCCCUCUAAGAAACUGCAAGAAAAAAUGCCUCUCCGCACAGGACUUUGCGGGUUAAGAAUGUCACUGCUGUCCCAGUAGAUGCAAAACUAUGCGCAAAUGAACACCCGUUAUUUUGGAGACUGGAUCGUUGAGGUGAAUCAUGUCAGGGCUUUGCACUGGACCUGGAAGCCUGGGACAAGCACACAAAACAUCCUGUGGCCGGGAGGUGCCCCCCUGAAAGAGGCAAAAGAUAGGUAUUUGCUCUCACCCAGAUUCCUUCCCAUCAGGAUUUUUUCCCCCUCUAAUUCAUUGCAAGAUAGAUUUAAAAAAAAAAAAAAAAAAACUGGGCCUGAUAAAGAAAAACCAAGGAUAGAAAACGCCCCAUAAAACAUGGCCCCCAAAGGGAAGGUGCAAAACCCAUUUGAUCCAAGAUAUAGAUAUCUCCACCCUGGAUUUUUUUUUUCUUCCCUUUGCUUUACAACUCUGCAGACAUCAGGUUAGCAAAAGGUAAUAAAUAGUCCUUGCACAGCAGGGUCUGGACUAGUGAAAACAGUUUACUGAAAUUAAUGGGCCUCGCUUGAACCAAAACCUCCACUUUGGAAUUAAUGCCAGACAUAGUUUUCCUGAACUCGAUCCAACCGCCUAAGCGGCAGACAAUUUUCGUUCUAUUUGUACUGGAAAAUAAAGCCCGGGCCCUUGAUCUCAGUGUAGAUUAUAAUUUUUUUUUUUUUUAAUCCAGCACAGUGAACGCUAUGCCAAUUUCCCAGUUUCUGCUAGCAGAAGCCCUUGUGCUCUGCGUGACGGUCAGAAGUUAUCUGGUAAACUUUCCAUGGAAAGCCAUCUCCGGACUCCCUCCCCAUCGGUGGCCUCAGAGCUUUCACCGUGACACUCGAGAGAUUCAGGGAAAGCUCUAGAAACGGGCUCCGUUCUCAAUAACAACCCUCUUCCCCAGGGCUCUUGGAAAGGCUGGAUCUGAACAACGCUGCCUGCAUGACCUCCAUUUUCCAGCCUCAAUGAAGCUCCAAACCAGCCAACCGAAGCCCACCCUCCGCACCCCCACCCCCGUGCUCAGGGUGUCUACCCCUUCUGAAGCUGCUCUUAUUUUUUAUUUUCAUUAAUGCAUUUUUAAGAGUGAAAGGCGCGCGCACAUGCACACGCGCGCACAUGCACACGCGCGCACAUGCACACGCGCGCACAUGCACACACGCACGCGCGGGCUCGCACCCAGCGGCGGCGGCAGGUACGGCGGGGACAGGGUGCCCCGACUGUCAGUGCCUCUGAUCCCGGCCCGCCUCGUCCCCCGCACCCCCCCACCCGCCCCUUAUUAAUAGGAGCCCGGUCGCAGGCAGCCUGCGUUCUGGUUUUCAUUGUACAGCCUGCACUGGUGACACAGGACAUGUGGAAAAUUUUGAGAGCACUGCGGUGAAUGGCGUGGAGGGGGAGUGCGAGCAGGGGGAGGGGAGGAGGGCGCAGGGGAGGGGCGGGGAGGGAGGGGAGCGAGUUACUUUUUAGCUUCCGCUAAGUACUUGGCAGCGCGCCAGGCCCGGAGGAUUGUGGGAAGCGAAAGCCUCCCCAGUAUAAACUGCCAGCUUUAAGCAGCCCUGACAGUUCUGCUCCUUCCAAACUUGGCAGCCGUUCAAAGUGCUCUUUCAUUUGAAAUGCUGGAAGCCUGCCAUGUGCAAUGCAGAUUUGCUGUGCCUGUGCGCAGAAGGAACUGAUAAAUGCCGUUGCAGUUGCCAUGGGGACAGGAGGCUAUCAGAAUGGCCUUGUGAUCCGCAGCCUCUCAGCGCGGCAGGCUCUCGCUCUGCCUCCUGCCCCUCCUCCCUCUAGUCAGUGAGAUGGUGAAAUAAAUGUUCUGGAAAAAGGUUAACCCUGCCUGCUCUGGUUCCAAAGCCGAGAGAAGGUUAACCUCCAAGCUCUUCCCGCGGGGGGUGGGGGCUUAAGUGGCAGCCCGGGGCCUGGGGCCCUC
rnacentral:lncRNA from 1 species